rnacentral:rRNA from 1 species
GAGGAGAAUCAUUCGAGAAUUUUGUGUAAAAUGUCGGCGAGCGGCGGACGGCUGAGUAACGCGUGGGAAUGUACCCCAAAGUGAGGGAUAACGCACCGAAAGGUGUGCUAAUACCGCAUAUGAUCUUCGGAUUAAAGCCUUCGGGCGCUUUGGGAACAGCCUGCGUCAGAUUAGAUAGUUGGUGAGGUAAUGGCUCACCAAGUCAACGAUCUGUAACUGGUUUGAGAGGAUGAUCAGUCAGACUGGAACUGAGACACGGUCCAGACUCCUACGGGAGGCAGCAGUGAGGAAUCUUCCACAAUGGGCGAAAGCCUGAUGGAGCAACGCCGCGUGCAGGACGAAGGCCUUCGGGUUGUAAACUGCUUUUAUAAGUGAGGAAUAUGACAGUAACUUAUGAAUAAGGAUCGGCUAACUACGUGCCAGCAGCCGCGGUCAUACGUAGGAUCCGAGCGUUAUCCGGAGUGACUGGGCGUAAAGAGUUGCGUAGGUGGUUUAAUAAGCGAAUAGUGAAAUCUGGUGGCUCAACCAUUCAGACUAUUAUUCGAACUGUUGAACUCGAGAGCAGAAGAGGUAGCUGGAAUUUCUAGUGUAGGAGUGAAAUCCGUAGAUAUUAGAAGGAACACCGAUGGCGUAGGCAGGCUACUGGGCUGUUUCUGACACUG